rnacentral:lncRNA from 1 species
CGCAAACGUAUUACAAAGAAUAUAGAUAGAUGUCUUGCAAUAUUACAUCCAAGAUUUGACAAGUAAAAGAACUGCCUUCAUACCAAGAUCUAGAGGAACACGUACGUUUGCAUACAAGGAUGUGCCUUUUUAAUCCCAUCAUAUACCUACUGUAACAGCGAUGGAUCCUCCAACCAGCUGAUGGCAGGAAAAGAAAAGACGGAAUCCUCCCCAUGGAUCGAGAACCAAGCAGGAUAUCGACUUCUCCACCGAGAUAAGCAAAGCAUAUGCUCGGGGCCACAUCCGCUGGCUAUCCUUUUUUAUCGCCUUUAGGGCUGACCAAAGGUUUAUCGAUCAAUCGCCCGGAACUCCACCGAUGAAUACAGACUGCGCCGAUGAUGGGUGGGUGCGCCAUGACUCACGCGAUCGCGAGGCUUGCUUUGACAGGUUAUUGUAGUCGCCGGGAUAAGCAGACCGGCCGGCCGGCCGGCCCCAGCCAGGAUCGCCUCCACGAACGACUUGCUGCGAUCGGCAUCGAAACGCACGCACAGUUGAAAGUGGUGCUCGAUCUUCGAUCUUUUUAUGGUUGGUCGUUGGGCAAAUCAUGGUAGACCAACCCCCAGGUCGACAGUGAGAAGAGAUCAAAGCUAGAUAUUUU